GGCCGAUUACAGUUCGUACAGGCCAUAUUGGGAGCCGCGGGGAUUUCGACAGUGUGUAUUAGGAAGUAUACCUACGUCGUGUAUGGAAUAUGUGUUUGCCUACCAUGCCUAGAUAAGGCAGUGUGACAAGGGAUAUCCCAGGGGACGUAAUAUUCCUACAGCAGAAAUGUUUCACAACCUCGUCAAAAUUGGCAGCUGAUGUCAUGCAGGGAGCUGAAGACGUGACAUAUUCAGACAGAGACCAUAUUGCAUAUAGACUGUUACAUGGUCUCUGAUUCAGGUGUCAAGAAUCAAGAACAAAUUAAAUGACAGAAGUUUCGCAACAGUGAACAUAGUGAAGUGGAAGAUAAGACAUUUGAAAGGGCUUGGAUUUCACAAUCUGACACCAGCUACAUUUAAGAAGAUCUUGCUCAGACAUGUCAGACAAGGGACUUGCCGGAUGAUGAACAAUCCUCCCGAUAACAACCAACAGAUUCACCUCAGAAAGUGAUGAUUCUGAAUGAAUAAUGCCACAUCAGUGUGACUAUAGUAUAGUGACUAUAGUAUGACACUAAUCAAGUCUGAAUGAAUUUAUGCCAAAGCACUGUGACUAUGUCCAGGUUGUGUACACCGACGCUGACUAUACAAAUCUGAAUGACUUUUGUGGUUUACUGCUGAAACAUAAUUGACUUUACAUAUUCUUCUUCCAUGAAAUUCUUCUGAGAUUUGACUAAUUUGUUUAUUUAGAAAAUUGCAUUGAAUAGUCUGUUCUGUAAGUUCUUGCAAACACCACUGGUUACUUUAUGCUAGUUCCUCUUCUUGCUUGAUCAAAUUUCAAUUUGUGAUAUGUACCAAUGAAAUGUCAUA
rnacentral:lncRNA from 1 species